AAGAUCUUACUUCAUAGAAUCAUUUUUAUAGUAAGUUCUUCACGAUAGCACGCAGAUUACGAGCGUGAAGUUCAAGUAAUUUUGCGUCUUGUCUAAUAUGUAUGGAGAAGGAGAGCGGAUUUGA
rnacentral:snoRNA from 1 species